rnacentral:rRNA from 1 species
AUUGAACGCUGGCGGCAGGCCUAACACAUGCAAGUCGAGCGGAUGAAGGGAGCUUGCUCCUGGAUUCAGCGGCGGACGGGUGAGUAAUGCCUAGGAAUCUGCCUGGUAGUGGGGGAUAACGUCCGGAAACGGGCGCUAAUACCGCAUACGUCCUGAGGGAGAAAGUGGGGGAUCUUCGGACCUCACGCUAUCAGAUGAGCCUAGGUCGGAUUAGCUAGUUGGUGGGGUAAAGGCCUACCAAGGCGACGAUCCGUAACUGGUCUGAGAGGAUGAUCAGUCACACUGGAACUGAGACACGGUCCAGACUCCUACGGGAGGCAGCAGUGGGGAAUAUUGGACAAUGGGCGAAAGCCUGAUCCAGCCAGGCCGCGUGUGUGAAGAAGGUCUUCGGAUUGUAAAGCACUUUAAGUUGGGAGGAAGGGCAGUAAGUUAAUACCUUGCUGUUUGACGUUACCAACAGAAUAAGCACCGGCUAACUUCGU